CAAGUUUUCAGUAUAGAGCCCUGUCCUCUGUUCAAGCGCCAUGGGAGAGCAUAGCACUCUGUUCCAUGGUAUACAGUUCCUCUCCACAAGGUUUGAGAAGAAGCUGAGCCUUAAGUCUGCAUCUGCACUUUCCUACAACUUCUCAGGGUCCUGUGGACAGUGACUGAGGAAGCAAACCAUGCAGGAAACAGGC
rnacentral:snoRNA from 1 species